GUUAGCGGCGGACGGGUGAGUAACACGUGGGCAACCUGCCUGUAAGACUGGGAUAACACCGGGAAACCGGUGCUAAUACCGGAUAAUCCUUUUCCUCUCAUGAGGAAAAGCUGAAAGUCGGUUUCGGCUGACACUUACAGAUGGGCCCGCGGCGCAUUAGCUAGUUGGUGAGGUAACGGCUCACCAAGGCGACGAUGCGUAGCCGACCUGAGAGGGUGAUCGGCCACACUGGGACUGAGACACGGCCCAGACUCCUACGGGAGGCAGCAGUAGGGAAUCUUCCACAAUGGACGAAAGUCUGAUGGAGCAACGCCGCGUGAGCGAUGAAGGCCUUCGGGUCGUAAAGCUCUGUUGUUAGGGAAGAACAAGUACCGGAGUAACUGCCGGUACCUGAC
rnacentral:rRNA from 1 species